rnacentral:rRNA from 1 species
GACGAACGCUGGCGGCGUGCUUAACACAUGCAAGUCGAACGGGCCUGUCUUCUUUUUUGGGGGGUGGGUUGAGUGGCGAACGGGUGAGUAUCACGUGAGUAACCUGCCCUUCGGUCCUGGAUAACCGCUUGAAAGGGCGGCUAAUACGGGGUGGUCCGGUUGGUCCGCAUGGGCUGGUCGGGAUAGAUUCACUGUUUUUGGUGUUUCGGCGGGGGAUGGGCUCGCGGCCUAUCAGCUUGUUGGUGGGGUGAUGGCCUACCAAGGCGGUGACGGGUAGCCGGCCUGAGAGGGUGGGCGGCCAAACUGGGACUGAGAUACGGCCCAGACUCCUGCGGGAGGCAGCAGUGGGGGGUAUUGCACAAUGGGCGGAAGCCUGAUGCAGCGACGUCGCGUGAGGGAUGGAGGCCUUCGGGUUGUGAACCUCUGUUUCCGGUGGUGAAGGCCCUGUCCGUGUGGUGGGGUUGACGGUAGCCGGGGAUGAAGCGCCGGCUAACUACGUG